rnacentral:lncRNA from 1 species
UGGCCUAAAUGUCAGCUGCAUGAGCCUGCAACAAGUGCUUGGAAGCCAUAAUCUUGGACUUGAAUUGUCUGCCCAAGACCAGAGAACCUAGUAAGUUUUGAAACCUUCAUCUUGAUGGAUUGAAUUUUGGGUUUAAUUAUAAUGUCAUGUGAAGCUACUUGGAACAUUAAUAAGUAUAUCAAUGUUAGUCUGCAUAUGCUAAAUGUGUAUGAUACAUAGUCAACUAUACUAAUAUAUUUUUCAACUUAUUUUAUUUCAUAAUCUUUAAUGAGCAAUUUAUAAAUGAGAAAAAUCCCACUCUUAUGCUUAUCUUAUAAGUCAAAAAUUAAAAAAAAAAUCUAAUUUUCUUUCGGUUUAAGUAAAAAAAAAAUACGAGAGCGUGACGAAUAAAUAUUUUAUUUAAAUAUUCAAAUUGACCAACAAAACAUAGUGAUUUCCCAUGGAAGUAAAUAAAAUUUGUACCUUUUUCUACAAGUUUCUAUGGAAAUUGCACUGCACAAUUUGGCUAAAAGCCAAGACACAAGGGAGAAAGGUCUAGCCGCCUAGCCAGCCCAAAACCAAUCAACUAUGGGAUUAAAAAAUCCUGAGUAAAAUUUAGUCAAGAUAACCACAAUGUUUGGGCUCCCACAUGUCUUGUGCAUGUCCCCUUUGGAGGUUUCUUCCAUGAACCUUCCACACUCGAUAAAUUGCUGACAGCAGAAGAUGAUAUCAGUGUAUAUCAGACAAACUCUGAUUUCAGUCACAAUCUGUAGCCAAUCUUCUUUCAUCUUUUUUUUUUCUUUCUUAUGGUAAGCUUUUGACAAAUCCCAAAAUCAUUCCAAGAUACUCAGACUGAAAAUUCAACUGAGUAUCCAUAAAUCAUAAAUAUGAAUGCUAGCUAGCUUCACGCCUUGCAGCCUGCCCAAGCCAGAAAAAUGAUGGCAGCUAAGAACACAUUACAUCAUGGUUUGCCUGUUGGUUUUUCAAUGGUGUGAUGAUGCAUUUUAUUGUGUUUCACACCUUUCUUGCUGUCCCAUUUCUGGAAUAUGGAAGGUUAGGCAGC